rnacentral:rRNA from 1 species
ACGGCUCAGUAACACGUAGAUAACAUGCCCUAAGGUGGGGGAUAAUCUCGGGAAACUGAGGAUAAUACCCCAUAGAUCUUGGACGCUGGAAUGCCCCUAGGUCGAAAACUCCGGUGCCUUAGGAUUGGUCUGCGGUCUAUCAGGCAGUAGUGGGUGUAACGGACCCACUAGCCCGUGACGGAUAUGGGCCUUGAGAGAGGGUGCCCAGAGAUGGACUCUGAGACAUGAGUCCAGGCCCUACGGGGCGCAGCAGUCGCGAAAACUUCGCAAUGGGGGAAACCCCGACGAGGGAAUUCCAAGUGCUAGCACUUUGUGUUAGCUGUUCUUCUGUCUAAAAAACAGAGAGAGUAAGGGCUGGGUAAGACGGGUGCCAGCCGCCGCGGUAAUACCUGCAGCUCAAGUGGUGGCCGCUAUUAUUGGGCCUAAAACGUCCGUAGCCGGUUCUAUAAAUGCCUGGGUAAAUCGUACGGCUUAACCGUACGAAUUCCGGGUAGACUGUUCAACUUGGGACCGGGAGAGGCUAGAGGUACUCCUGGGGUAGAGGUGAAAUUCUGUAAUCCUAGGGGGACCACCAGUGGCGAAGGCGUCUAGCUAGAACGGGUCUGACGGUGAGGGACGAAGCCCUGGGGAGCAAACGGGAUUAGAUACCCGGGUAGUCCUAGCCGUAAACGAUGCUCACUAGGUGUCACAACAGUCGUGAACUGUUGCGGUGCCGUAGGGAAGCCGUGAAGCGAGCCACUUGGGAAGUACGACCGCAAGGUUGAAACUUAAAGGAAUUGGCGGGGGAA